rnacentral:rRNA from 1 species
UGAAUACGAGACGCUAAGGCGUCGAAGUAGUGUAUGUCAUACUUCCAAGAAAAGCUUGCACUGUCAUAAGUAAAAAAUGCCUGUACCAUAACCGACACAGGUGGGUAGGUAGAGUAUACUAAGGGGCGCGAGAUAACUCUCUCUAAGGAACUCGGCAAAAUAACUCCGUAACUUCGGGAGAAGGAGUACCUUAUUCUAUAAGGUUGCAAUAACAAGAUCCAAGCAACUGUUUAUCAAAAACACAGGUCUCCGCUAAGUCGUAAGACGAUGUAUGGGGGCUGACGCCUGCCCAGUGCCAGAAGGUUAAAGAAGUCGGUUAGCAUUAGCGAAGCUGGUAACUGAAGCCCUGGUGAACGGCGGCCGUAACAAUAACGGUCCUAAGGUAGCGAAAUUCCUUGUCGGGUAAGUUCCGACCCGCACGAAAGGCGUAAUGAUUUGGAUACUGUCUCGGAGAGGGGCUCGGUGAAAUAGACUUGUCUGUGAAGAUGCGGACUACCUGCACCAGGACAGAAAGACCCUAUGAAGCUUUACUGUAACUUGAAAUUGAAAUUGGACUUUAUUCGCGCAGUAUAGGUGGGAGGUGUUGAUUAUAAUCUUGCGGGAUUAUUGGAGCCAUCAGUGAGAUACCACUCUUGUAAUGUUAGAUUUCUAACUUUGAAUCAUUAUCUGGUCAAAGGACAGUUUCAGGCGGGCAGUUUGACUGGGGCGGUCGCCUCCCAAACGGUAACGGAGGCGUACAAAGGUUUCCUCUGAACGGGUAGAAAUCGUAUCUAGAGUGUAAAGGCAUAAGGAAGCUUGACUGUGAGACCUACAAGUCGAACAGGGACGAAAGUCGGUCUUAGUGAUCUGACGGUACUGAGUGGAAAGGCCGUCACUCAACGGAUAAAAGUUACUCUAAGGAUAACAGGCUGAUCUCCCCCAAGAGUUCACAUCGACGGGGAGGUUUGGCACCUCGAUGUCGGCUCAUCGCAUCCUGGGGCGGUAGUACGUCCCAAGGGUUGGGCUGUUCGCCCAUGAAAGCGGUACGCGAGCUGGGUUCAGAACGUCGUGAGACAGUUCGGUCCAUAUCCGGUGUAGGCGUUAGAAUAUUGAGAGGAGCCUUCUUUAGUACGAGAGGACCGAGAAGGACAUACCUCUGGUGUACCAGUCAUCGUGCCGACGGUAAACGCUGGGUAGCUAUGUAUGGAGUGGAUAACCGCUGAAAGCAUCUAAGUGGGAAGCCCACCUCAAGAUAAGUAUUCUCC